CGAUUGUUAUCCCCACAAGAUAAACCUGAACAUUUACAACAAUCGGUACCUGCUUUCCAGUUUGCUAGAAUACCCGAUGGAUCAGAUGUGAUACGCGACUUGAAAGCUAAUAACCGCUCUCGUAGUUAAUGUGGCAGUUUGUUGCCAGGGAUGUGAGGGAAUACAGGGAGACUAUGAUAAAGAAGAGAGGAACAGGAAAUUGAGAAAAAUAUAGCAUUGUG
rnacentral:lncRNA from 1 species